UGAGCAAGCUUGGCUGACUUUUGACAGUGUCUCUGUUCCAGUCGCUUUUGCAGUCGUCGUCGCAGUUUCAGUCCGAGCCUCUUUCAGUUCUGUGUUUGUAUUAUUUUUGGCAUGUGUCGGGAAUUGUUUUUCUGGCUCACGUUUGCAAACAGCAACAGCAACAACAACAACUAGUAAAAUUUUAAUGAAAUCACUGCAAAACUACAAAACACUUGUGCCAAGGCAAAGCCAGAUCCAUAGGAAUGUCUGGCCGGAGGGAACUUGCAACACAGACUUACGACAAUGCCGCACACAGUUUAUUAUUGUUGUUGUUGUUUUUGUUCUUGUUGUUCUUGCGGAACGUGUAAAGUGCACGACCAGGCAAUUGAAAACUGAGGACUGAGCACUGAGCACUGAGCACUGCAGGACCAAGAAACAUUUACACUGUUUGUCCGACUCACUCUCGGAUUGUUUGUUUGCUUGUUGUGGCGAUUCGUAACACAUUUGCAAUAUUUAUAAAGACCAAUAAAAAUGUUGAGAGAUAAGCAAAGCAACUAAGUGCCUGUAAAUUUGCAAGUUUAACUGCAAGUUAAUAUUGAAAUUAGCUUUACGCUAAACUAAACGCAUUAGCAAAAGAUGCAAAGAAAAAGAGAGAAUAAUAAAAUGCGAACUUUACGCAGUGCAAACAUUGAAAGAUAGGAAAUAAUACAUUUCCUCUCUUUUUUAUAUUUAAUAUUUAAUAUAAAUUUAUAUUGCUUUAAAAUCAGCAGCUGCUAACUAGCAUAAGCUGUCAAUUUUACUAUUCCCAAAUACUCGUUUAUUAUUUAAAGCUCAAUUUAUAGACAUUUGCGUAAUUUGAUGGUCCGCCCCUUGUGAGAGCCCUUUAAUGAUUGUCAUUAUGCCACAGGCAGCGUGUUGUGCCUACUGCCUGCUGCCUCUGCCAUCGCUUACAUAAAUCAAUUCGGCAGUCCGACCCAUCGCCCACCUCAGAAAUAUAAAUCAAAUUGCUGCCAUAAACCUAACCCAACAAUAACAAAAGACGCAAAAUAUGCCGCCCAAAAUGAUAACCCCAUAGAAAAACAGAGAAAAAAACGAAGAGAAAAAAAAAACACCAACGACUCGCUUGAAUUAAUUUGCAUUAUUAAAUCGGA